CCCGCCGGCGACCGGCGCACGGGUGAGUAACACGUAUGGAACCUGCCCGCAGCAGGGGGAUAAGCGGAAGAAAUUCCGUCUAAUACCGCGUAACACCGCGGAGGGGCAUCCCUCGGCGGUUAAAGAUUCAUCGGCUGCGGAUGGCCAUGCGGCGCAUUAGCUAGUCGGCGGGGUAACGGCCCACCGAGGCGACGAUGCGUAGGGGUUCUGAGAGGAAGGUCCCCCACACUGGUACUGAGGCACGGACCAGACUCCUACGGGAGGCAGCAG
rnacentral:rRNA from 1 species